UUUAUGUACCGACUCAACUUUGACGCCUGUUAUCGUUAACAACUUGCCAUUUUGUUUAUGAUUAGUUGAUUACAGUAUUCCCAUCUCUCUGUGCAAAUAAGUAACCCAACUGCAAUCACCAUUUAUCUUCCCGCCUCUCUCUCUCUCUCUCUCUCUCUCUCUCUCUCACACACACAUACACACACUGAGGAAGACGGCGAACUCUAGUCGGUGGAGGCGUUAUAAUGAUCAAAGGAAGUCGCAUUAUAGAGUCGUUUCUAUGGAAGAUGUCGGGAUUAUUCAACUUCUUCAUCCUUCUACUGUUCUUAUCGACGAGUCUUCGUGAUAUCAGAUCCGCCGCUCAGCUUUUGCCGGAUGAAGAAGGUACAAUUUUCCUUAAUUUUUAGUUGCUCUCCGUUCAUCAACAUUUCUGUUGUUUUAGUCACUAGCUAGUUAUUGUUCUGAAUGUUUGAACGAAUCUGAUGGUUCUCUUGAUUUUGACUUUGCAAUUUGCGUUUCGAGAAAUUUGAUUUCGUAGUAAAGCUUUUAUUUGGAUAGUCGAUGAUAAUCGUUAUGUUAUCCAGUCCCUCUUUUACCUUUUAUGGAAGUCGCUUAAACAUCUGAUUUUAUGCUCAUUGAACUGUAAAAGGAAGCUGUACGGAAUUGAUUUCAUGGUAAAGCAGAUAAAAACAUUUUUUUCCCAGAAGGUUACAAAAGUUUUGAUUACUUCAUUGACUUCAUCGAAAAUACUUUGAUCUCUCCAAAAAGUUUGCCCAGAUUUGGACUUGACCACAUUUUAGCAAUUUACUUUAUAUGAUUAUUCAAGUAUGGGAAUAAGAUAACAAAAAUUGAAUAUAUGUCAUCAAUGAUCUAAGAUAAUUGAGACGAUAGGAUAAAAUAUCAAAAAAUUAGAAAAGUAUAAUACUUGUUACCUAGGUUUGACUCACUGUUAAGGGACAAUAUUUUAUUGUUUUAAUAAAAGCAAGUAAUAUUCUUUCGAUAUUAUAGUAGUCCUUUUAAGACAUUUCUUAAUACAAAUAUCUUAUCAUUAAUAAUAUUUAAAAUACAUACCGUUUAAUAAUAUCAAUAAAAAUAAGAUUAUCACAAUCAACACAAAUAGUUAAGAAUGUAUUAAUAUAGCUACACCUUAAUAAUUAAUAUUGUUGACAUGGUACAAAAUCCAUUUGCGCUUAAUUAUUGUAAUAAAUAUCCAAGGUCAUAUGAAGUAUUUAUCGCAAUAGGUUUGUAUGGGUCCCAAAGUUCAUAUCAACUUGCAUCCCUAUAACCCUAUUCAAUUAAUUCAGCCUUCAAAAUUAUGGAUCUAAUAUAACGUGCUUCCUAGUUCCUUCACCUAUUCACCCAUGUCACCUUUGAUGGCCCCUUCUAUAUAUUGCUUUCUUUUUCGUAAAAUUUUAACUUUACAUAGAAUAAAAUAAUACCCUACCUAACAAUUUAAUCCUAUUCUACUUUGAUUCCUUUUCUGCUUUUUUUCUUUUUUUUAUAUCAUAGAUGAAAUAGUUAUCUCAUGUUCUACGGAGUUGGUUUAAAGGGCCCUCUCAUAGUUUGACUUUGACCAUAUCGCGUUUGGCCAGCUGGAUGCAUUUAAGUCUUAGCCUUGAUAUAAAAAGACAUAUUUGAUGUAUGUAGAUGUGUGGCUGAAUGGAUGUCGUUUUCUUUUCGUCAACCGUGCAAAUUAAAAUAUAUGAAUUUAUUUUUUCAUUUUUUUUUNNNNNNNNNNNNNNNNNNNNNNNNNNNNNNNNNNNNNNNNNNNNNNNNNNNNNNNNNNNNNNNNNNNNNNNNNNNNNNNNNNNNNNNNNNNNNNNNNNNNNNNNNNNNNNNNNNNNNNNUAUAUAUAUAUAUAUAAAGAGGGACUCCCCAGCAAGAUGCAAGAUGCUAGGAAAAACAUACAAUGAAAAUUGAAACAGAUGUAAUGAAAACAAGAUGAACUACAACCCAAUGAAAGGGUUUUCAUAUAGCGUGUAUAAUUGACAAUUUGACAUUUAUAAUUUAUAACCUACUUCCUUCUUGUGGGGAUUUAUUUCCCUUUCUCGAUAUAAUUUCAAUAUCGUUCGUUAUGAUCUUGAUCCAUUCCUCUAAACAGUUUAAAAAUUAACAAGGAAGUUUGUUCUUUUCCACCAAUCUACAAUCAUGUAUUGACCUUUUACCAAGUUUCUGAACAAUUCAACUUAUAAUGAAAGUUUGACAGCUAUAUGCAUGACUAAAUAAUAAAUGCCAGUUUAUAUAUAAUUCCCUUUUUUUUUGUUUGUAACAGUUGAAACUAUGAGAGUGAUAGCCUCAAAGCUAGGAAACAUUAGGUGGAAUGUUUCUAAAGAUUCAUGCACUACAGGUGUAGGGCUACAACAGAUAAUUUCCACUGAUAGGAGAGAGCUUAUGGAAGUUGGUAGCAAUGUAACUUGCAACUGUAACAUCACUAAUAGUACUUUUUGCCACAUAACAAACAUGUAUGCAUCUAUCUUUCUUUCUAUAACAUAUUCUAUUAAUUAAUUAUGUCACUAAUCAAUGUUUACUGAUAUUUUCAAUACUUGUAUUAAAUUUCAGCCAGAUGAAAAAAUUGAACGUGACUGGAGUUUUACCUGAAGAAUUUGCAAAUCUCACUUUUCUGCAAGAAAUGUAAAUCCACCAAUCACCAUCAAUUUCUAAUUAUGUUAAAUUAGUAAUUUUAUUACGCCUGUUGUAAUUAAUAUGAUACAUUUUUCAUAUAUACAUACAGAGAUCUGACUCGCAACUAUAUCAGUGGCCCUAUUCCCAAACGUUUCAGCGAGCUUCCUCUUAUCGUUUUGUAAGUUACUUUUUGUUUCAAAUUUCCCAUUUUGCCCUUGUGAAUGUACUUUUGACAAUGUAUUUUCCAUAGGGGUGUUUUGGGGAACCGCAUCAAUGGUUCCAUACCUGAAGAAUUAGCUGAUAUUUCUACACUCGAGGAACUGUAAGUAAAGAUCCUUCAUCCUUGCAUUUCAUGUCUACUGUAUAUCAUAUGAAUAAUAUGAAUUUACUAUUUUGACCUUUAGGGUUGUGGAAGACAAUUUGCUUGGAGGACUACUUCCUCCACAACUUGGACGCUUGUCUCGCUUGAGAAGAUUGUAAGAUUAUUUUAUAUAGACAAAACUGCAAAAAUAGUCCCUGUGGUUUGCAUUUUUUCAGGAAACAAGUCCAAACAGUGACUUUUUUUGAUUCGUGGUCCUUUUGGAGUGGUUUGUAUAUGAAAAUGGUCCCUCCGAAAAUUGAAAUGACCAUAAUACCCUUGGGGUAUUUAUUUUUCAUUUUUCUUUCAUUUUAUUUUUAAAUUUAAUAUUUAUUUAUAUAUUUUAACAAUUAAAUAAUAAAGGAUCUCUCUCUCUCUCUCUCUCUCUCUCUCUCUCUCUCUCUCUCUCUCUCUGGUUGACUGCGAAAGAAACCACCAGAGUGGUUGCAAAUUCCGGCGAGAUCGAAAGGGAAAAGAGCCCUUGUUCCCCUCUUCUUCCUCUGUUGCCUGGAGCCACCUAACGCACCAGGAUUGUCGAGAAAACACAACCCAGAAUACCUCUUUCCUUGCAUAAUUGUUGGAUCAGAAAAGAAAGAACAGUCUAUCUCCCUCGCCACCGCAGAUGACAGUGACCACCACAAUUGCCACCGUUGAUGAAGAGUAAACCCACAAAGGGUCGCCGAUCUAGAUGGACCCCCUUCUCCCUCCUCGCGAUUUUUGAUCCACCACUAGACAACCUCUCUUGCUGCUUCGUCAGUUCUUUUCUCAAUCUGAUGAAAACGAAUGCGCCUCCCCUUUCUGAAUUUUGAUCCACCACCAACUAAACAAGAUCAUCAUGAUUUGGAUUUAGGGAAUUUCUAGAAGAGUACUUUGAACUCAUAACAACACCAUACAAGACCUGAACCCUCUUCUCGGGUUAACUUACCCCAUCCAUCACAUUCCACCAAUCCAGAACAAAUCUCAAAUCUCACCGAUCAAAACCAUCAUCUGGGGUUCAGAUUAGAUUUAGGGUUCUUGAGACCAAUCUUCCUAAGAUCAUAGUACUAUCUCAUAAUCAACAUCAACCUUUUCUGGAUGAAGCUUUCAUUCUGUUUGUAGUACCACCGGAAAUCGAGAUUUGGGUGUAGUAACAUCGGCGAUUUGGGUGUGUUCCUACUGGAAAUCAGAGAAGAUGAACAGGUGAGCAAAGAAGGGGAGAUUAGUGAUGGGUGUGUUUCCAUCUGUUCUUGAUUUUAAGAGAGAGAGAGAGAGAGAGAGAGAGAUAAGUGGGCCCAAAUUAAUUAUUUAAUUCCUUUUUUAUUUAAAUUAAAUAGAAAAAACAUAAAAAAUAUAUCAGAAGGGCAUUAUAGUCAUUUCAAUUUUACGAGGGACCAAAUUUACAUACAAACAUGGCCAAAAGGACCACGAAUCAAAAAAAGUCGGGGUUUGGACUAAAACCCCAAAAAAAUGCAUACCACAGGGACCAUUUUUGCAAUUUUGUCUUUUAUAUAUGUCAUAUACUUCUUUUAUGAUGUUUAUAUUUUAGUGUUGUUAACAAGGAAAACUUUUUUUUUAAUUGCAGCGUUGCUUCUGCAAAUAACUUUACUGGAACUAUACCAGAUUCUUAUGGCAGUCUGACUAAUUUAGAAGAUUUGUAAGUCAGAUAUCUUUUAUAAAUUAUAAUCAUAUUUAUUAAAUAGUCUAUAUAAAUUAUUGAAUCCUUUUUUUUUUACAUUUUUGCAGUAGGAUAGAUGGGAGUACAUUAUCUGGGAGUAUACCUGAUUUUAUCGGAAACUGGAGAAAUCUCACAAGACUGUGAGUAUUAUUUUACCCUGUUUAUUGUCAUAAAUAAUUUUAAAACUUUAAUCAUUUAUAAUUUAUUUUGCAGUGAUAUGCAAGGAACGAACAUGUCUGGACCUAUUCCUUCUACAAUAUCUCGGUUGAGAAACUUGGAAUCAUUGUGAGAAGACCACAUUAUUUUAUUUUUGUUGAAUUUUCGGUCAAUAAAGUUGUGUUAAAUUGUUAAUAGACUUUAGCGUUAUACUUACUUUAUAUUUUAUAUCAGGAGGAUAUCUGAUUUGACUGGAUCAUCAAGUACGCCAUUUCCUAAUGUGCGGAAUAUGACAAGUUUGGAGGAUUUGUGAGUUGAUAAAAUUAUUUAAUUGUAUGAAAGAAAAUGAAAUAAUUUAACAUAGUAAGUGUGUUGUAAUACUUAUAUUUAAUUUUGAUACAGGGUUUUCAGAAAUUGUUUGCUUACCGGCUCAAUACCUACUUACAUUAAUGGUCGAUCCAGUUUAAAAGAAAUGUAAGUCAGUUACUAGUAUUCAUGUUAAGCGUUUUUUUUGGUGCUAUAGUUUUAUUAAUUUAAACUUUUUUUAUCUGAAUUUUUUUUUUUUUUUAUUUACAGAGACCUGAGCUUCAACCAGCUGAAUGGUUCAAUACCCGAUUCAUUUCAAUUUGUAGACUUUGACAGCUUGUAUGCAAUUACUUGUCACAAUUUUAUUUCCUUUUUGAUUUUGAGGUUAAAUUUGUUAUUUGGGAAUGUAAUAUUAUUGUCCAUGGAUGAAGGUUUCUGAAUAACAACUUACUAUCCGGAGGGAUUCCACAAUGGAUAUUUGCUCGCACAGACAAGAUGUAAGCAUGUUGCUAUUAUAUUAAUGUUAUGGAGUUGGAGCUAAAAGAUUACCAUUAUGUUAAAUGCAGUGACUUAUCUUACAACGAUUUUACAAAUACUACACAGCAAACGUGUGGGUCAUCUAGAGUGUGAGUUUUUACCUAUUUUACCUUUUACCAUAUACUUUUUUAUUUUCAUUGAUCACUAAUUAUAUAUACAUUUAUUUAUAACAGGAAUUUGGUUUCAGCCCUGUCACCUUCAUCCCCUGCAACCAACAGGUUUGUCCUAUGUCAACCCAUUCACAUAAAAAGCAGAGAAUAGCAAUGUACAUAAAAAAAAAACUGAUAAAAGCAGUGUACUUUACUAUUUUGGGUAAAAAAAAAAUUAAAUCACAUUGCUUAUAUUGGUAUAAAGAGUAAAGUAUGUUGCUAUUGGUAUAAAGAGUAAACUUUAAUGAUGUUAAUGACUCUUUCAGAGAAAGUUGGUGUUUAAGAGACGAAAUUGGUUGCAGUAGAAACCCCAACUGUAAGAAAUUACUAAAAAAACUCUUGUCUAUUUUGUAAAUUAUUAUAUUAUAUCAGUAUCUAAAUAAUCAUUAUCUGAAAUUCCAGAUCAUUCGUUGUUUAUUAACUGUGGUGGAGAAAGCACAGUGUUUGAAGGAAAUGAAUAUCAAAAAGAUGCAACCAACGAGCAAUCUUACUUCUAUACAGAAUCGGAUGGAUGGGCUUAUAGCAGUACGGGUGUUUUCAUGGGCUCUGGUACUGCCCCAUUUACUGGAACCAAUACGGGUGUGACAGGUGGCGAAAUAUACACAACAGCUCGCUUUUCUCCAACUUCACUUAGGUACUACGGAUUAUGUUUGAGGGAAGGGAGUUAUAAAGUGAGGCUCCAUUUUGCUGAAAUCAGUUUCACGAAUGAUUCCACAUUUGCAAGCCUUGGAAGACGCUAUUUCGAUAUAUCAAUCCAAGUCAGUAAUAAUAAUAAUAAAGUGUAUAAUAUAAUAACACUUCCCAAUUUUUUUUGAUUGUAUAUAAAUUUUAGUUUAUGAAUUUAAUUUUGUUUUAGGGUGUUUUGGAGCGGAAAGACUUUAGUAUUGUGGAAAGAGCUGGAGGUGUUGGAAAUGGGACCUACAUAGAUUUUGAUAAUGUUACGGUUACUGGUAGCACGUUGGAGAUUCACUUGUAUUGGGCUGGAAAGGGGACAACUGGCGUUCCGGAGCGAGGUGUUUAUGGACCUCUUUUAUCUGCCAUCGCAAUUACACCAAGUAAGUAAUAGUGUCCUACUAUCCCACCUUUUUAAGUGGAACAAAAAAUUGAAGAAUCAGGCCUAAAUAACUUAUUUGACCUUGUUGCAGACUAUAAUGUCAGUACAGGCGGGAUUUCUGCUGGAGCUAUUGCUGGAAUUGUGAUUGGUUCAUGCGCGUUUGUAGUCCUAAUUUUAGCUCUGCUUUGGUGGAGAGGCUAUAUUGGAGGAGACAAAGAAGAUAAAGGCAAGACACAAUAUACAUAAAAAUAAAUAAAAAAUUAUGUCUGUAAGAUUUUAUACAGUUCUAACUGCUUUUAAUUGUUGUAACAACAGAGCUUCGAGCGCUUGAAUUACAAACGGGGUAUUUCAGCCUGCGACAAAUUAAAGCUGCUACUCAUAACUUUGAUCCUGCAAACAAGAUCGGUGAAGGAGGAUUUGGACCAGUUUAUAAGGUAAGUUUCAAAUGUGGCAUCUUAUUCGGGCAAAAUUGCAGAAAAUAGUAACAUUCCAUUUUUAUAUUUAUAUUAAAGUUUUUGCGUUUUGUGGAAUCACAGGGUGUACUCUCGGAUGGUUCUGAGAUUGCUGUGAAGCAACUUUCAGCCAGAUCAAAACAGGGAAACCGUGAGUUUGUGACUGAAAUAGGAAUGAUAUCUGCUUUACAACAUCCAAAUCUCGUGAAGCUUUAUGGUUGUUGUAUUGAAGGCAAAGAGUUGUUGCUUGUAUACGAAUACCUCAUCAACAACAGUCUCGCACGUGCCCUUUUUGGUAAAUAACUAAAUACUUUUAAUAUUUUUCACUAUCCAUCUUGCAGUUUCCUGGUUGUUUUUAAACAAAAAAAAAAUGGGAAUUUUUUAUAGGUAAAGAGAACCAGAAGCUUAAUUUGGACUGGUCAACAAGAAAGAAGAUAUGUAUGGGAAUCGCAAAGGGAUUGGCUUAUUUACAUGAGGAAUCAAGAUUGAAAAUAGUUCAUAGAGACAUAAAGGCCACAAAUGUGCUUCUUGAUAAGGAUUUAAACGCUAAAAUAUCGGAUUUUGGUUUGGCAAAACUUGAUGAAGAAGAGGAUACUCAUAUCAGCACACGAAUUGCUGGAACAAUGUGAGACUACUUAUUAUCUUUUUUUAUUAUUAUUAUAUCAUUUAUCAUUUAAUUUCAUUAAAAAUGUGACAUAUUUUUAUGGUGUAAAUAUGUAGAGGGUAUAUGGCUCCGGAAUAUGCAAUGAGAGGAUACUUGACGGAUAAAGCAGAUGUUUACAGCUUUGGAGUUGUGUUGUUGGAGAUUGUGAGUGGGAAAAGCAACACAAAUUAUAGGCCAAAGGAAGAGUUUGUCUACCUUCUCGACUGGGUAACUUCAAUUUUUUAAUACAAUUGCAAGAAAUAGCAACACACUUUUCCUUUUUUUUCCAUAUAUGGGCGAUAUACUUUAUUUUUUAUACAUACUGGUUACCAUUUGAAUUUUUUUUCAACUUUUCUCUUAUGUGAUAAUAUUUGAAGAUUUGGCAGUUUUUUGCCACAUCAUCAUUGGUUGCAUACCACAUAAGCAAAUAAGUCAAUUCAAUUUCAAUCUGAGUUUAGCUCAUUUUUUCGAUUUUGGUUCAUGAAGUUUCCUUUUUUCAGUUUUCCUCCUUGUUUGUGGGUUUUCAUAAGGGUUUUGGUCCCUGAAAUUUCCUUUUUCACAGUUUUGGUCCUUAUUUGAGGUUUUCGUAAUGCAUUUGGUCCCCGAUCCAAAUAAAAUGACUAUAUUACCCUCCCUCAUAAUUCUCUUUGUAAAAUUUGAAAUAUAAUAAUAAUGCAAAACUAAAACUAAAACAAAUAACACAUAUCUAUAAAAAAAUCAGACAAAGGUUAGUAUAGUCAUUUUGCUUUAAGCAGGGACCAAAAGCAUUGCAAAAACAAGAAAUAAGGACCGAAAUUGCAAAAAGGAUACAUUAGGGACCAAAACCAAAAAAUGAGCUAAAUCAAAAACCAAAACUGUAGUUUCACUCGAAGCGAAAAAGUUGAAUGAAAACUCAAAUUCGUUAAAAACUGUUGUGUUUGGUAGAAAAUCACAAGUACAUUGCUAUUAUGGGUAAAAACUAAAGUAUAUUGUUCAUAUUUAUUACAAUGGGAAAGUACGUUGCUAUUUUCCAUUAUUUUUUAACGGGUAUUUCCCUUAAGGCCAAAAUUGAUAACUUUUGUUUGUAAUCAGGCGUAUGUUCUACAAGAGCAAGGGGGUCUCUUGGACUUAGUGGACGCAGGUCUUGUUAAAUACUCAAAAGACGAAGCAUUGAUGAUGUUAAAUUUGGCUAUCUUAUGCACGAAUAUAUCACCCACACUUCGCCCACCAAUGUCAUCAGUCGUCAAAAUGUUGGAAGGGAAAUUACCACUUCUACCCCCAGUGGUGAAACGAGGGGUGGGGAAUACUGACAUGAAGUUUAAAGCUUUUGACAUGAUGUCACAUGAUAGUCAAACACAAGUCUCAACUAUCUCAGCAGAUAGUCAAGGCCCCAGUCUCUGGAAUGAUACAUCGUUGUAUAAGGAUGAGACACAGGAGAGUACGUCUUCUGAGACGAAGCUUCUUCCUGAUCUUUAUGAAGUUUGAAUCCAUAAUUUAUUUCUUCAUUUAUACCUAUAUUGUACAUGUGUGAGUUGUACAAAAUAUGUUUAAAUUUUGGUUGUAGAUCGAUUAUCACAAUGUAAUUUUUGCAAAAUUUUGUUUAAAUUUGUCUCAUGGGCUAUGGUUUUUUACAUCAAUUAUGUAUAUAACUAAUCGCGUUAAAAAUAAUAAAACAGAAGACGAAAGAAUAGUCAUAAACAUAGCUUUUGAAAUGUUAACCGCAAAUUAAAAUACGACAACGACAGGACCGUGUGUUAAGCUCGUCUUUUAAUUUUAAAAUUAAAUGAAAAUUUUAAAUUGUUUUUAUUAAUUUCGUUGAAAAGUCAAAACUGGUCAAGAACGAUGUAUUUGAGACUUUGAGUUAGGUUAGUUGUUAGGAAGAUGAGAAGAUCGUUAAAGUUAACGGUAACGUUGCUGACAUGGCAAUAGUUUAUCUACCGACUCAAAUUUGACUCCCGUUAUCGUUAACAACUUGCCAUUUUGUUUAUGAUUAGUUGAUUACUGUAUUCCAUCUCUCUGCAAUUAAAAAACCCAACUGCAAUCGCCAUUUAUAGAAACCCAACUGCAGUCGCCAUUUAUCUUCCCGCCUCUCUCUCUCUCUCUCUCUCUCUCUCUCUCUCUCUCUGAGGAAGACGGAGAACUCUAGUCGGUGGAGGCGUUAUAAUGAUAAAAGGAAGUCGCAUUAUAGAGUCGUUUCUAUGGAAGAUGUCGGGAUUAUUCAACUUCUUCAUCCUUCUACUGUUCUUAUCGACGAGUCUUCGUGAUACCAGAUCCGCUGCUCAGCUUU
rnacentral:lncRNA from 1 species